GGAUGAAGAACGUAGCGAAAUGCGAUACGUAAUGUGAAUUGCAGAAUUCAGUGAAUCAUCGAAUCUUUGAACGCAUAUUGCGCUCUUUGGUAUUCCGAAGAGCAUGCUUGUUUGAGUAUCAGUAAACACCUCAAAGACUUCAAUUUAUUUUGAAUGGCUUUGGACUUGAGCAAUCCCAACACCAGUCUUUACGAUCGGUGGAGGGUUGCUUGAAAUGCAGGUGCAGCUGGACAUUCUCCUGAGCUAAAAGCAUAUUUAUUUAGUCCCGUCAAACGGAUUAUUACUUUUGCUGCAGCUAACAUAAAGGGAGUUUGACCGUAUUGGCUGACUGAUGCAGGAUUUCACAAGGGUCGGCAACGAUUCUUGUAAAACUCGAUCUCAAAUCAAGUAAGACUACCCGCUGAACUUAAGCAUAUCAAUAAGCGGAGGA
rnacentral:misc_RNA from 1 species